rnacentral:rRNA from 1 species
AGCGGCGGACGGGUGAGUAACGCGUGGGUAACCUGCCUCAUACAGGGGGAUAACAGUUAGAAAUGGCUGCUAAUACCGCAUAAGACCACAGUACUGCAUGGUACAGUGGUAAAAACUCCGGUGGUAUGAGGUGGACCCGCGUCUGAUUAGGUAGUUGGUGAGGUAACGGCCCACCAAGCCGACGAUCAGUAGCCGACCUGAGAGGGUGACCGGCCACAUUGGGACUGGGACACGGCCCAG